rnacentral:tRNA from 1 species
GCUCAGUUGGUAGAGCACAAGGCUCAUAACCUUGUCGGCGUGGGUUCGAGCCCCAU